rnacentral:rRNA from 1 species
AUGGUGAAGGAGGCGCCCACCACACCGAGCGCCAAGGGCAAGGGCAAGGGCGCCGCGUCCGCCUCCGCGCCGACGCCGCCGUCCAAGUCCGCCCCCGGAUCGGCCAGGCGCAAGAGGGUGUAUAAGAAGAAGAAGGCCGAUCCGGAGAAGAAGAAGGCGGCCGCCGCCGCUGCAGUCGCGGCCUCCGCCGACGCACCUGCUUCGGGGCCCACGCCGGUGGUUCCCGCUCCGGCCGACGUCGGGGCUUCGGCCGCCCUUGUGGUCGCCGAGAACGGCGGCGCUGAUGGGAAGAUGGUCGCCAAGGCCAACGGUGAUGGCGAUAAGUCCGUCGCCAAGGCCAACGGUGAUGGCGAUAAGUCCGUCGCCGAGAACAAGGGUGAUGGCAGUAAGUCCGUCGCCGAGAACAAGGGUGAUGGCAGUAAGAUGGGCAGUGGGAACAGCAGUGCUGACAGGAAGAGGGGCAGGAAGGAUAAGAUGAGGGGGAGGGCGAAGGGGGAAGGACAGGGGAGGGUGAACCCGAAGGUGGAGGAGAAGGAGAAGAAGGACGAUGCAGUGGGGGAGGAGAGGGGCAGUGCUGGGUUUAUCUUCAUGUGCAGCGCAAAGACGAAGCCGGAGUGCUUCCAGAACAGUGUGUUUGGCUUGCCCAAGGGGAAGAUAGAUGUGGUGGAGAAGAUCCGACCAGGGGCGAAGCUGUUCCUGUAUGACUUUGACCUGAAGCUUCUCUAUGGGGUGUACAAGGCAACGGCAAGAGGAGGGAUGGAUCUUGUGCGACGUGCGUUCAAUGGGAAAUUCCCUGCUCAGGUCAAAUUCAGGAUUGAUAAAGAUUGUCUUCCGCUUCCUGAGAGUAGUUUCAAGCAUGCCAUUAAGGAGAACUACAAUUCAAAGGGAAAAUUCACCCAAGAGCUCAAUUCUAGACAAGUCCGUAAGCUACUAGCACUAUACAAGCCAGUUAACAUACAUCGGCCAUCUUCCCAACAUGUUCAAGAAGUUCGUCGGACAAACCGUGUUGAGGGGCGCAUGCCUCACUAUGUUGAAGAAAGGCGACAGCCAUAUGAUUAUGAAGAAAGGCGGCUGCCACGACAUCAUGAAGAAAUGCAACACCCACAAUUUGUUGAAGGAAGGAGAUUAGCCUAUGAUUAUGAAGAAAGAAGGCCAUCACUCCAUGUUGAGGAAAUUCGACGCCCACAGUUUGUUGAAGAAGUUCAGCCACCUACAUACUAUCAUGUUGCUCCUGCUCCUCAUGGUUCUUACCAUCCACAUCAAGCUAAUGUCAUUUAUGAAAGGGCUCCAGGUGAUCCCGCUAGCAGGGUGGAUCCAUUCCUUCCAAGAGACUACAGGCUGCCGCCACAGGAGGUAGCCGCGCACCCCAGCUACGCUGACGAGAUCUACCGUGGUGCUGCUUACCCAGCCGCUCAGGACCCGUCCUACGCGGCCAGGCCCGCUGCUUACCCGGCAAACCUCCAGGGGCCUGCUGCUUCAAGGGUGCCGGUGUCCUCCCUCUACUCGUUCGCCGGAGCACCGGCGUACAGAUGA